AUUGAACGCUGGCGGCAUGCCUUACACAUGCAAGUCGAACGGCAGCACGGGAGCAAUCCUGGUGGCGAGUGGCGAACGGGUGAGUAAUAUAUCGGAACGUGCCCAGUCGUGGGGGAUGACGUAGCGAAAGCUACGCUAAUACCGCAUACGAUCUGAGGAUGAAAGCGGGGGACCGUAAGGCCUCGCGCGAUCGGAGCGGCCGAUGUCAGACUAGGUAGUUGGUGGGGUAAAGGCCUACCAAGCGGACGAUCUGUAGCUGGUCUGGGAGGACGACCAGCCACACUGGAACUGAGACACGGUCCAGACUCCUACGGGAGGCAGCAGUGGGGAAUUUUGGACAAUGGGCGAAAGCCUGAUCCAGCCAUUCCGCGUGCAGGAUGAAGGCCCUCGGGUUGUAAACUGCUUUUGUACAGAACGAAAAGGUUUCUACUAAUACUAGGAGCUCAUGACGGUACUGUAAGAGUAAGCACCGGCUAACUACGUGCCAGCAGCCGCCGUAA
rnacentral:rRNA from 1 species